rnacentral:rRNA from 1 species
UACGUAGGGCGCAAGCGUUGUCCGGAAUUAUUGGGCGUAAAGAGCUCGUAGGCGGCUUGUCACGUCGGAUGUGAAAGCCCGGGGCUUAACCCCGGGUCUGCAUUCGAUACGGGCUAGCUAGAGUGUGGUAGGGGAGAUCGGAAUUCCUGGUGUAGCGGUGAAAUGCGCAGAUAUCAGGAGGAACACUGGUGGCGAAGGCGGAUCUCUGGGCCAUUACUGACGCUGAGGAGCGAAAGCGUGGGGAGCGAACAGG